rnacentral:rRNA from 1 species
UACGUAGGGGUGCAAGCGUUAAUCGGAAUUACUGGGCGUAAAGCGUGCGCAGGCGGUUAUUGUAAGACAGUUGUGAAAUCCCCGGGCUCAACCUGGGAACUGCAUCUGUGACUGCAUAGCUAGAGUACGGUAGAGGGGGAUGGAAUUCCGCGUGUAGCAGUGAAAUGCGUAGAUAUGCGGAGGGACACCGAUGGCGAAGGCAAUCCCCUGGACCUGUACUGACGCUCAUGCACGAAAGGCGUGGGAGCAAACAGGA